rnacentral:rRNA from 1 species
CAAUAGCGUAUAUUUAAGUUGCUGCAGUUAAAAAGCUCGUAGUUGGAUUUCGGGUGGGAAUGGCCGGUCCGCCGUUUCGGUGUGCACUUGCUACGCCCACCUUGCUGCCGGGGACGGUCUCUUGAGUUCACGCUCGGGACACGGAGUCGGCGAGGUUACUUUGAGUAAAUUAGAGUGUUCAAAGCAGGCCUACGCUCUGAAUACAUUAGCAUGGAAUAACACGAUAGGACUCUGGCCUAUCUUGUUGGUCUGUAGGACCGGAGUAAUGAUUAAGAGGGACAGUCGGGGGCAUUCGUAUUUCAUUGUCAGAGGUGAAAUUCUUGGAUUUAUGAAAGACGAACUACUGCGAAAGCAUUUGCCAAGGAUGUUUUCAUUAA